ensembl:lncRNA
CUUGCACAACAUUAAAGAGAAUGGUUAGUUCCUGUGUGUUCUCUCUCUCGACUUGGAGCAUGUCGUCCUUUGAAAAAAGCUUCACGAAGACAGGGUUAUUUUACAGAAUCUGCAUUGCCUCUAUAAGCAUUGGCUACUUAAGAGAAAUCCCGAUAAUAAUAACAACUGGGCUAGACGGAAAUGUCAUCUUCUUCCUGGUUGCCUGUCAGAUUUUUGCUAACAAGUCCUGAACAUGACUGAUGUAUUUACAUUGUUGCCAUCUAGUGGUGAGUCCUGUACCAUUUCUCUAUCUUUUGCUCUUUAUU